rnacentral:rRNA from 1 species
UACGUAGGGGGCGAGCGUUGUCCGGAAUUACUGGGCGUAAAGAGCGCGUAGGCGGCUUGAUAAGUCAGGUGUGAAAACUUAAGGCUCAACCUUAAGAUGGCACUUGAAACUGUCAGGCUUGAGGUCAGGAGAGGAAAGCGGAAUUCCUAGUGUAGCAGUGAAAUGCGUAGAUAUUAGGAGGAACACCAGUGGCGAAGGCGGCUUUCUGGACUGAUUCUGACGCUGAGGUGCGAAAGCCAGGGGAGCAAACGGG